UACGUAGGGGGGCUAGCGUUGUCCGGAUUUAUUGGGCGUAAAGAGCGUGUAGGCGGCCAGGUAGGUCUGCUGUGAAAACUCGAGGCUCAACCUCGAGAUGUCGGCGGAAACCAUCUGGCUAGAGUCCGGAAGAGGAGAGUGGAAUUCCUGGUGUAGCGGUGAAAUGCGCAGAUAUCAGGAAGAACACCCGUGGCGAAGGCGGCUCUCUGGGACGGUACUGACGCUGAGGCGCGAAAGCGUGGGGAGCGAACAGG
rnacentral:rRNA from 1 species